UGGGGAAUAUUGCACAAUGGGCGCAAGCCUGAUGCAGCCAUGCCGCGUGUGUGAAGAAGGCCUUCGGGUUGUAAAGUACUUUCAGCGGGGAGGAAGGGAGUAAAGUUAAUACCUUUGCUCAUUGACGUUACCCGCAGAAGAAGCACCGGCUAACUCCGUGCCAGCAGCCGCGGUAAUACGGAGGGUGCAAGCGUUAAUCGGAAUUACUGGGCGUAAAGCGCACGCAGGCGGUUUGUUAAGUCAGAUGUGAAAUCCCCGGGCUCAACCUGGGAACUGCAUCUGAUACUGGGAAGCUUGAGUCUCGUAGAGGGGGGUAGAAUUCCAGGUGUAGCGGUGAAAUGCGUAGAGAUCUGGAGGAAUACCGGUGGCGAAGGCGGCCCCCUGGACGAAGACUGACGCUCAGGUGCGAAAGCGUGGGGAGCAAACAGG
rnacentral:rRNA from 1 species